UCCGUCCACCUCGGCUUCCCAAAGUGCUGGGAUUACAGGCGUGAGCCACUGCAUCUGGCCAGCAACUUUUUGCAUCUAAAAGGUGGAUGUUCCUUCUAUGCUUACAGGAUUUAUGGUUAAUCACAGAGGAAGUACCAUCAGGGAAGCCCAUUCCAGGAGGAAGUGGGGAGGGGGCAGGUGAAAAAAGCGGAAGAAACCAAUUAGGGGCAUAUGCAAUUAAGGACAAGUCCUGAGCAGGGCUGCUGCAGCCACAUCCCACAGCAGGGCCUGGGGAGUCAGCUGCACCUAGAGCUGAGGGCCCGGGGCAGACACGGAUGUGUCAGUUCACUAGCCUGGGUACCCUAGCCAGGCCCCUCAGGGAGGGAUGCCAGCCCCUUGGAAGAGACAGUGUGUGGGCUGACCUUUCUCCCAACACAGGGGAAGAAGAGUUCCUUGGCUGGUUACUACACCUACCCCAGCUCUUCCAGGCUGCCGCUGUUUCAGUUACCAAAAGAAGACCCCUAAGCCCAGCCAGCAGCUAUUCCUCAAUCACAUGUCCCCCUCCUUCAGGACCAUCCUGGCAAGACCCACUCCUUGGGACACGAAUGAUGUCUGGCCACACAGAAUACAUGUUUAUGACUCAGACCGUCCAAUUCCCUAACCAGCUAUGUCCCACUGGUUCUCAACAGGGCCUCGUGGAGGCAGCCCCGACCUGGGGGAAGUGGCCUUGCUCUGGCUGGUAUGUGCAGAAUGCUUGUCCAUGUAGACGUGCUUUAUUUAUGCCAAAUCGUGCUUGGGGGCUUCGGGGGAUCAGACUUGCUUCCUCAACAAGCUGUGACUGCAGGGGAGGGACUGGCUAAUAGCAGACAAUGGGUGUUAUCUGGUCCACUCACUGAUCCAUUCGCCAGUAGGAGGAAUGUCUAACUCUGCAUGUGUGAGAAGUAGUGGUUUUCAAGUACAAGACUUUUUUGAACCAGUUCCAGCUUUAGAGAAGUGAGAUUGGUGUAGGUUGUCCGUGUGUGGAAUGUGAAUGGAGGGUGGGACAUGGAGCAUACGCUUUGCUUGUGGAAAAUGUCUCCUGGUCCUCAGAACUGAAGCCGUUUUAGCGGCACUUCCUGGAGUGAUGGCACCCUUGCGAGAUAGGGUUUGAGUCUGGGAUUAUUGGUCCUUCAUUUUUUGCUAUGGGAGGCAUGUGUUGUCGCUAUUUUAGUAAGCCUCUGC
rnacentral:lncRNA from 1 species